rnacentral:sRNA from 1 species
GCCAGGUAUGGUGGCACAUGCCUGUAAUCCCAGAGGCUUGGGAGGCUGAGGCAGGAGGAUCAUGAGUUCAAAGCCAGCUUCAGCAACAGUGAGGCGCUAAGCAACUCAGUAGGACCCUGCUUCUA